GUAGGUGAACCUGCGGAAGGAUCAUUAAAAAAAAUAAACUAUAUAGACUGCGUGCGCGAGCAUGUAAAUCUAAUAGACCCCCCUCUCCUGUGUACCCUUCACCACGUUGCUUUCGCGAGUUGCUCCUCCCACGGCCAUUAUACUCGCACACUUUACUGUUGUACGGGGGUUGUGUCGUUGGGAAGAGAGACCUCGCGAAAGGCCAACUUAAAACCAAACCAUUUCUUUUUUUCACCUUUUCUUAAGAAAA
rnacentral:misc_RNA from 1 species